rnacentral:rRNA from 1 species
UAGGGAAUCUUCGGCAAUGGGGGGAACCCUGACCGAGCAACGCCGCGUGAGUGAAGAAGGUUUUCGGAUCGUAAAACUCUGUUGUUAAGGAAGAACGAGUGUGAGAAUGGAAAGUUCAUGCUGUGACGGUACUUAACCAGAAAGGGACGGCUAACUACGUGCCAGCAGCCGCGGUAAUACGUAGGUCCCGAGCGUUGUCCGGAUUUAUUGGGCGUAAAGCGAGCGCAGGCGGUUAGAAAAGUCUGAAGUGAAAGGCAGUGGCUCAACCAUUGUAGGCUUUGGAAACUGUUUAACUUGAGUGCAGAAGGGGAGAGUGGAAUUCCAUGUGUAGCGGUGAAAUGCGUAGAUAUAUGGAGGAACACCGGUGGCGAAAGCGGCUCUCUGGUCUGUAACUGACGCUGAGGCUCGAAAGCGUGGGGAGCGAACAGG